UACAGAGGGUGCGAGCGUUAAUCGGAAUUACUGGGCGUAAAGCGUGCGCAGGCGGUUUUGUAAGUCUGUCGUGAAAUCCCCGGGCUCAACCUGGGAAUGGCGAUGGAGACUGCAAGGCUAGAGUUUGGCAGAGGGGGGUAGAAUUCCACGUGUAGCAGUGAAAUGCGUAGAUAUGUGGAGGAACACCGAUGGCGAAGGCAGCCCCCUGGGUCAAAACUGACGCUCAUGCACGAAAGCGUGGGGAGCAAACAGG
rnacentral:rRNA from 1 species